UUUUGACACAGAGUGUUUUUUUAUAGUCUCUAAACAUGCUAUUUCUUCAAUAUUUCUUGAAUAACUGUAUUUCAGGGAUUUAUUAAAUAUUGUCUUCUCUUCUAAAUAGAAUGGGAUCAAAAUUGUCAACACAAAGUCACAAAAGUGCAAUUUUAAAUCAGGACAACACUAAAUUUUGUCUUCAUAAUGAAAGAUGUGAAAGUAAUAUAAAAGGUAAGAAUGGUUUGUAUUAAGUUUUCAAUACUAAUUAACACAA
rnacentral:sRNA from 1 species